GACGAACGCGGCGGCGUGCUUAACACAUGCAAGUCGAACGGAAAGAGAUGAAAGAGCUUGCUCUUUUAUUAAUUUCAGUGGCAAACGGGUGAGUAACACGUAAACAACCUGCCUUAAGGAUGGGGAUAACAGACGGAAACGACUGCUAAUACCGAAUACGUUCUAAGCAUCGCAUGGUGCAUAGAAGAAAGGGUGGCCUCUACAAGAAAGCUAUCGCCUUAAGAGGGGUUUGCGACUGAUUAGGUAGUUGGUGAGGUAACGGCUCACCAAGCCGACGAUCAGUAGCCGGUCUGAGAGGAUGAACGGCCACACUGGAACUGAGACACGGUCCAGACUCCUACGGGAGGCAGCAGUGGGGAAUCUUCCGCAAUGGACGAAAGUCUGACGGAGCAACGCCGCGUGAACGAAGAAGGUCUUCGGAUUGUAAAGUUCUGUGAUUCGGGACGAAAGGGUUUGUGGUGAAUAAUCAUAGACAUUGACGGUACCGAAAAAGCAAGCCACG
rnacentral:rRNA from 1 species